UACGUAGGGUGCAAGCGUUGUCCGGAAUUAUUGGGCGUAAAGAGCUCGUAGGCGGUCUGUCGCGUCGGCUGUGAAAACCCGGAGCUCAACUCCGGGCCUGCAGUCGAUACGGGCAGACUGGAGUUCGGCAGGGGAGACUGGAAUCCCUGGUGUAGCGGUGAAAUGCGCAGAUAUCAGGAGGAACACCGGUGGCGAAGGCGGGUCUCUGGGCCGAUACUGACGCUGAGGUGCGAAAGCGUGGGGAGCAAACAGG
rnacentral:rRNA from 1 species